GGGGUUUUAGUUCAGUGGUUAGAGCAUCUGACUGCGGAUCAAGUGGUUCCUGGUUCAAAUCCAGACAACCCCC
rnacentral:tRNA from 1 species